GAUGAACGCUAGCGGCAGGCUUAAUACAUGCAAGUCGUGGGGCAGCAGGACUGUAGCAAUACAGUUGCAGGCGACCGGCAAACGGGUGCGUAACACGUACGCAACCUACCCUGAACUGGGGGAUAGCCCGGGGAAACCCGGAUUAAUACCCCGUAAUAUAAUGGAGUGGCAUCACUUUAUUAUUAAAGCUCUGGCGGUUCGGGAUGGGCGUGCGGCCGAUUAGGUAGUUGGUUGAGGUAACGGCUCACCAAGCCUACGUUCAGUAACUGGUGUGAGAGCAGGACCAGUCACACGGGCACUGGGACACGGGCCCCACUCCUACGGGAGGGAGCAGUAAGGAAUGUUGGGCAAGGGAGGCAACUCGGACCCAGCCAUGCCGGGUGGAGGAGGAAGGCCCUCGGGGUUGUAUACUUCUUGUAUAGGGGACGAAACCUGUGUAUUCUUACGCAGUUGACGGUACCCUAGGAAUAAGCACCGGCUAACUCCGUG
rnacentral:rRNA from 1 species